rnacentral:misc_RNA from 1 species
UUUCACAUCCAAACAAAAGUGCCACACCCAUUUUUUUCUAUGUGGUUCUUAUUAGUGCGAUGUGUUUGUUGAGAGUAUUAAGUUGAAGUUUACAUUAAAUAAUUUUUUGUAAUAGAAAAAUAAGAAGUUUUUAUAUUAUUGUUGUGGCUUACGCACGACACAAUUGCUUGUAUAUCCAUUCUAAGUGGGAAGUUCUGAGCGAAAGAUUUAUUAUUAUAGUAGCGACAGCUGGCCAGUCCGGGCACCAUCAAAUUUGAUAAGAUUUUAGACCUAGAUCUUUCAAGUACUGGACACAUUAUAGUAUAAAUUAGCAAUGCAAAAUACAAAGAAAAUUCCGGAAUUCAGUCGAUGUGAAUCAACUAAAUACGAGUAUAAGAAAUCGUCGUAUGCGGAGAUUUAUGAUGUGCUACAAUCCUUAAGGAAAGAUGAGAUUCUUUGUGAUAUUAAAAUAGAAAUAGACGAUGGUGGAGUUAUAUUCGGCCAUAAAGUGGUUCUAGCAUCGGCUAGUCCAUAUUUCCACGCAAUGUUCACAAACUUUUCAGAAAAGAACCAAGAUCUUGUUCUUAUCAAGGAGUUGGACUCUAGUGCAUUACGGCUUUUAAUAGACUUUGUCUAUUCUGGUGAAAUCUCCAUCACUGAAAAAAAUGUACAGUGUUUGUUGCCAGCAUCGAAUCUUUUGCAGUUACAAGAAGUCAAAAAUGCAUGUUUUGAUUUUCUACAGGCACAACUAUGGCCUACAAAUGUUAUUGGGAUAAAUGCGUUGGCUGAUUUACAUGGCUCUAUGCAAUUGUUAACAAGUUCAGAAUUAUAUAUUCAACAACUUUUUUCUGAUGUCGUAGAAGGAGAUGAAUUUCUGUCCUUUUCAUCGGAACUAAUGGUUAAGUUGAUCUCUAGUGAUGAACUUACCGCUCCAUCUGAAGAAAAAGUAUGCAAUGUAUUUGAAAUUGUUAUUCGAUGGGUAAAACAUGAUUUGGAUUCCAGAAAACAAAUUUUGCCCCAAUUAAUGGAACAUGUGCGUUUACCAUUAAUAUCGAAAGAUUACAUAUUAAAAAAUAUAGUUGAUGAACCUCUUCUUAUUAAUUGUUCUAAAUGUAAAGAUUACGUAUUUGAAGCAUUACGUUUUCAUUUAAUUAAGCCAGACAAACUUAUCACAAUUCCUCAUAACAUCCGGACAAAAGCUAGACAGUCUGGUGGUACACAUAAAGUAAUUUUUGCUGUUGGUGGAUUGGGUUAUGACCAUAUAUUAAAUACUACAGAAUGGUAUGACCCAAAAAUCAACCAAUGGCAGCCUGGACCAAAAAUGUUUUUACCACUUGAGGCACCAGGUCUAGCUGUAGCUAAUGAUAAUUGUGUGUUUCUAAUGGGUGGAAAUUCUGGACAAAAUUCGGAAACUUCAAAAUUGGUUCAUUGGCUAGAUUUGUCUUCAGAAUCACCUCAUUGGAGACCAACCAACAACAUGUUAGUCAAACGACAGGAUUUUGGAGUUGGUGUGAUCGAUAAUCAUAUAUAUGCCAUUGGCGGAGCAGAUCAUGAUCGAAAUUAUUUGAAUAGUGCAGAAGCUUUCGACUGCAGAACUCAAAAAUGGCAAAUGUUAGCUAGUAUGUCUACUAGAAGAUUUGCUGUUGGAAUUGGAGUACUGAAUAAUCUUUUAUAUGCGGUAGGAGGAUCUGAUUCAAAGAAUAAAUUAAGCUCCGUAGAAUGCUAUCAUCCCGGUCUUGAUAAAUGGACUACAAUUGCAGACAUGUGUAAGUGUUGAAGCAUACCAACCAAGUAUAGGAGUUUGGACUACUAUUCCGGAAAUGCAUUUGUGUCGAUGUGAUCCAGGAGUAGCGGUAUUAGAUG